CAUCAGCCACCAGCAGCUUCAACUUCCUCAGCUCUCAAAGCUAUCUUAAAGGUUUACUCACCUUGUACCCCUGUCCCAAGUUGCUGUACUGUGUUUCUUGUUCCGUGUUCAGCCAGGCCCUGCCCCCACUGCUCCUAGACUCCACAUGCCAACACUGUACCCCUGCCCCAAGCUGCUGUACCUUGUUCAGCUGGGCCCUGAGGAGGAGGAUGACAUAAGGACUUCUAUGUAAACGAGAGAAACCAGAGACUCAUGGGAUGCACCCAGAUUGAAAAAAAACCCGAAACAACGAGCCACACAAAAAGGAAGGAAUAAAAACAGUACCAUCGAACGAGGAAGACCCAGAGGAGUCCCCUGACUUCCCUCCAGAGGCCGACAUAAACUUGAGGGGACUCGACUGGGAUGACACCCUAGACUACAAGGCCAAGAGAAUGAGUCUUACCAGGGACUCCUGUGAGGAAGGAAGUCCCAGCUCUGCCCUAGUGACAAAGCUGCAGGGAUCUUCCUCUUCUGCGGUGUCCAAGUGGGAGUAGUGGUGGUGUGUGUGACUCCCCAGGCCUCCACCCCACAGCUGUUCUGUUUAAUAAAGGCCCUCUUAAAAAGA